GAAUGAGAGUUCCUGUCACUCCACAUCCUCCUCAGCAUUUGGUGCUGUCAGUGUCUGGAUAUUGACCAUUCUAGGGCUCCUACACUGUGGGAUGCUAUCCAGCUGCCAUGAUCACACCAGAGCCACUUCAGACAGGGGCGCAGAUCUUAUGGAAAUGACUCAAACUAGCCAAUUCUAGGCCUGUUUACCCUGCCUCACCCAUUCCUUCUCUGGAACACACAAUAAAAGCUUUCCUGAAGUCCCCUAUGCUCUCUCUCUGCCUGUAGCCCUGCAUGGCGUAUUUGUCCCUUUGUCCUGGGAACUAUGAGUAAUAAACUGUCUUUUCAAUGGCAA